rnacentral:rRNA from 1 species
UGGCGCACGGGUGCGUAACGCGUAACCAACCUACCCGAAUCUGGGGGAUAGCCCGCCGAAAGGCGGAUUAAUACCGCAUAAAACUGCAGUGUGGCAUCACAUAACAGUUAAAGAUUUAUUGGAUUCGGAUGGGGUUGCGUGCCAUUAGCUAGUUGGGGGGGUAACGGCCCACCAAGGCGACGAUGGCUAGGGGAGCUGAGAGGCUGGUCCCCCACACGGGCACUGAGAUACGGACCAG